UGGGCGAUUAUAGACUUCGUUAGAAGAGGAAAAUGGAAUCGUUGCUGAAUAAUUUUUUUAAACAACCAAGGUCCUUGAGACACAUCUGGGUCAAGCGGACACUGAAAAGAAUGAUGAGUUGUCGCUAAUCGUGUUUUGUCUCCAUCGAGCAUACGGAGAAAAAACAAACCUUGCCACUGUGCUUACCGUGAAGACGGGUCAAGCAGGCCAAAUAAGGGUCAAGUUGAUCAACAUCGUCGAGUCUCAGCGAUGUGACGGAUGAAUUCGAGGACACUUGUCACUUGAAAGACGUAUUAAAAAAAUUGUACGAAGCUAUCGGGAGGUUCAACUCCUGUCACAGAGUAAAUGAGUACACCCGUAAUAGAGCUUGUUGCAGCGAAUCGACGCUUGACGUUACCGCUGUUCUUGGAUGCCAAGAAAUAUGAACGCCGAGUCCUUUGUCGACUCAUAAAUCUUUGGACUCCAGGCUAUCUUGUAUCCCAAUCAUUGUCUUGGACCAAGUUGUCCAAACCUGAUUGACUCAGCACGCAAACACUUCCACCUUAAUAUUACCAGGUAAGUGUGUGAUGUAUUCCACGCGUCAUCUCUGUGCUUCCAACGUUUAUCCGUAUGAAGUUGCUCUCGGCGGAGUUCUGAAUGUGACUUGAUCUCUACGUUCUCUCUGAUAUUUUCCGACCUUUACGGACAUGAGAAUGUGAUUGAAUCCAAAGCCGUCGUUGUAGCUAAUCCCACAGUUCGUUGAGCUCGUUCUUAAAUGCCCCUCUGAUAUUCCCAACAGUAUACCGUCGAUUCAAUAUUCAAUCAAAUUAUCAAUUGCUUGCCAUUGAUCUUUCAAUCGAUCGAUGGAUUCUAUUACGGACUUUGCGUUAGUGGAUUGAAAUAAAUUACACUAUAUGGCAACAUGUUUUUCCGUUUGGCUAAUCCCAAACCUACACACGUCCCAUCAUUAAACGAAUGACGCAUCAGAUUUACUCAGAGUGAACUCUCCAAUUGUAUGUUGCAAAGAUUUUGACAAUAUAAAAUGUAAAUACAUUUAAAGAAACUGUUCAACUUUCGACGGGUAAUAUUUGAUGUGAAUUCAAAUCACAGGUUUCUAAAAUUUAGAAAACUUCGCACAAGCAUGCGAAAAAAAAUUUCUCGCAUCAUAAUCGUUACUGCAUUCAAUUGGAGUGCAAGGAGCAGGCAAACUUACGAAAACUGAUUGUUCAAAGAACCAAGUCCCUUCGUCUACCUCGAAAUUGAUUGAAUUGUAUAAUGAAACGGAUGGAGACGCGCUUUGUUAAGAUUCUCACAAGAAAAUCAAUUAUACUCUAUUCUGAUUUUGCCAAGUAUACGUUUCUUGUCGCACCCACAGGCCUGAAGCCUAAGCAUGCGAUCUAUUCAGAUGUUUGUUAAAUUAAGACACUCGUUUCCUCAGCUCACACGAUAUGCAGCGACUUAAUUAACACGAAUGCAACGUAAAUAUGUUGAAUAAUAAAGUUGAAUAGCACCGUGGUAAUUGGUGAGUAAUGGAUUGAAAACAAACAUUCCAUGUUGGAGAUAAGUGACGACGAAGAGGUCAAAGGCCAGGAGCAUCACGCCGCAGGAAUUCUGGAAUCAGUGGUAAUCGCGGGUGUCGCGAAAUCCGAUGACGUUUAAGAGCGACCGUGCAGAUUUAUGCCGAUUGCUUAUGCAGCUGCGACACGUUCCAAGCCGCAAUUUCUCCCGCUUGGCUGAACCAUCGAAAGGACGGAAAAGGCCGUUUCGAGCUCUGCACGAGCUGCAACGGCUGUUGCUGCUGCUCCGUUGGAACACCUGACAGAAAAACCACAGUUCAUCAUAUUCGAAGGAUCUAACAAAGCCCCUCAGACCCAGCGGUUAGCAAUGUAGAGAACUACACGUAUAUGUAUACUCAGUACUGUUUCGCCAAACAUGGAUAUCGUCCCUAGAUAAUCGUCUAUUCGUUACAAGGACGAACGAGUAGAUCAGCUACACAGUCUCGCAUGGUUUAACAAAGCGAUGGUGUCAUCGUCUCACCGAUCAUCACUCAUUCGGGAUUUCAAAUUCGAUAAUCUGUAAUUUUUAUAACAAAUUCCACCGCACCGUCACAUGUUUGAAAUUAUGACAGCAGGCUGCUGCCCGAAAGAUUUUUUUUUUUUUUAAACUCUCCUAAGCAGGCGCUAAUUCAAACGACUUUAAUAGUUGGGUCAAAUUUAUUACGACACUCUUGGUGCCUGUGUUGACUUUGUCGUCGCGUCUGUAGCGGUAUGCCACAGGUUGCUAAUCAAAGCAACGACCAGUGUACAUAAUUGCAGUUCGGGUCCAAAUUCGGACACUGGAAAGGACAAGUGGAGAAGAGAAAUUUUGUACACUUGCUGCGGAGAAGAAUAGGUGAAUAAAUUGAAUAAGAACAGAGAUAUAUUACACUUUGUCCCAAUUUUUUCACUUACUUGCGUAUGUAUUAUACAUACAUAUAUACACAUCUCGCUGCAGACCUUGUUUCGUUAUAGGUAGCGUAAUAAUAUUGUAAAAAUAUAAUGUCAAGUUAGUAAAAAGUCCUAGUUUGCAAAACGAACAGCUUAAAUUUAUUUCAAGGCAGCACCAUGUAUUGUCAUGAAGAUACAAGUAAUUUAAAUGAAUUUCUUUCGUGUUUACCGUGUGA